rnacentral:rRNA from 1 species
UACGUAGGGAGCUAGCGUUAUUCGGAAUUACUGGGCGUAAAGCGCACGUAGGCGGCUUUGUAAGUCAGAGGUGAAAGCCUGGAGCUCAACUCCAGAACUGCCUUUGAGACUGCAUCGCUUGAAUCCAGGAGAGGUGAGUGGAAUUCCGAGUGUAGAGGUGAAAUUCGUAGAUAUUCGGAAGAACACCAGUGGCGAAGGCGGCUCACUGGACUGGUAUUGACGCUGAGGUGCGAAAGCGUGGGGAGCGAACGGG